rnacentral:sRNA from 1 species
GCGAGAGAACGUUGCCAACGGCAACGGCCCGUAGGGUGAGGAGCGAAGUGACAAAUAAUCCUUCCCCCACCACCA